rnacentral:lncRNA from 10 species
UUAAUGCAUAUGUUAUGUAGCAUAUGGGCAAAGUUAUUACUAAUUCCCAUAUAAAGACAUGAAAACUCUAAUACGUGUUUGGCAGAGCCACUAACCUUCUAGGAUCCCACAUUCUGGGAUCCUGACCCAGCCAGUGGUAGCCUCCGAGUAAGAAGAGCAGGAAGAGGAAUAGCUGGACUUGCAGCACAAGUCAUACAAAAUUUUAAAAUUUUUUCCUAGGGUUUUUUCCGCCCUCAUUUGGCUUCAGAAUCAAGACUGAGUUUGUGCAUCCAGUUUUAGAUGGAACAUUGAAAAACUUGCAGAUAUAUGAGGCAGUGGGGGAAGCAACAAGGAUUAUGGCUAAUCUAGUGACUAAGUCCUAGGAGGGAAGGUUGAAGAAGCUGGAUUCAACACUCAAUAGAGUGAUGGUACUCCUCCAAUAUGCCAGGGACUGAACCAUGCUCUGGGGAGAUGGUGAAUGUAUUGCUAAUGCCCAGAGAAGUGGAGAAGUAGGUCAUCUCUGUCACCAGCUUAAAGUCUCCA